UCUCUGUAACCUGUGGAAUGUGGAGGACAGGGCAGAGUAACGACCUGAGAAUAGCUGAUCAAUGAGUUUCUAGGGGAUGGCGUGAGAUAAAAGUGCUUAGUUCAGGAAGUCAAUGUACGACAGUUUAUGAACUCUUCCCAAAGUGCCUUUGUGAAACUAGAUGCAGCUAGAACCGCGAGGCGCUAGCGAACUGUGUGUUCGUAUGUGCGUGUGCGCCUCUUCUAUUCAUAAUGCCAAGUUUAUGGGAAGACUUGCACAGACAUUCGGGGAGGAAGGCGAAGCCAUGAUGGCAGAUGCCAAAGUGUUUUUAUUUAUCAGUGAGUGAUAUUCCGGUUGGGAAUGGGUAAGUGUUACCUUUACUUUAGCCAAAGGGGUGGCUUGUUUGAUAUCUUGUAAGAUGUUCCAUUUUAUUAACUUUGUCUUUAAACUUGUGUGUGUACUUACCAGAAUGUGUUCUGUAUCUUUGGCAGAUGGUUCUGGAUUUCUGUGGGACAGAGUUCCCAGGGAAAGGUGUGACCUUUUGGGUGACUUGACAAUGAGUAGUUUUAAGUUAGUCUGUGAGACUGGAUUACUUAGUUAACCGACUUAGUUGUUAUUGUAAAUAAACGUUAUGUUAUGAUGCAACUCUCUCAUUUUCAUUACCUGUUAGAAUGGAGAAAGAGGUGGAGAGAGAGAGAGAGAGAGAGAGAGAGAGAGAGAGAGAGAGAGAGAGGUGGGGUGAUUGCCGGGAGAGAGAGAGAGAGCCUGUCUGUGUAGUGGGGGUCUGCCUUCCGUUUCGUGUCCACGCUUACCGUAUGAAAUACAUGGCGGUUUUCCCAUGUAAUAGUGGUGGCAUGGAGGGAUAAUUCCCCCAUAUUAAUAGUGGUGGCAGACGGUUAAAGAGGGGAUAUAGAAAGUUUUCUUGUUUUUCUAUGCCUAGGAACGCCAAUGUAGAGAUGGUUGGCCAGUUAGGAAAUAAAAGGGGUAGAGAAAAUGUCCGUCCGUGGGAUGGGGGGAUGAGGAAAGAUUUUCUAUUAGGGUCAUCAAAUUUGCCCGUACCGAGCUUCUUCAGGGCGGGAGUCGUGAGACAAGCAACUCAGUCUAGUUUGUAAGUGAGUUGCUAGGAGUCAUCUCACCGGUCGCGUUUGUAUUGUGCCGACGAGAUUUACGCGUUUUUACGAAGAAUUUCGAGUUCCUUUUGUUCCCAUUAUGGAGUGGUGAGUGUUAAACUAUUGUUUAUCAAAAGGAGUGGGUUUUUGUUUAAAUAUUUCAGGGUUAUGGGAUUGGUUCAAGAGGUCAAAACAAUUUUUUCUUUCCCCAUAGUGAAGUGUUUUCUUUAUUUGCACGUGUUUAUAAUAGACGUAUGCAUUCGUCUUUGUUUAAAACAUAGGAGUGUAUUUUUCUAUGCAUGGGAACUGUGCUUAGACAAGCAGAUUUGGCUUAGUGACACAGAGCGGCCACAAUUUUAAGGGCUCAGCAUAUUUCUGCAGAGAGGCGCCUUGCAUUGCGAGGGUGUACGGGCAUCCCUUGGGAGGUAGGUUGCAUGGGUACCACUAGCCUCACUCGAGAGAUAGUGCAGGGAUGGGGAUCCUACUGGCAUGCCUCGGGGGAGUGUUCUGCCGCUUGACUGAGGGGUUGUUCUCAGGGGGGGAGAAAUUUUUUUGUCUCAGUGUGGGUGAAUUCCCCCUUUUCCUUUUUUUUUUCUUAGUGUUGGAGAUGGAUUUGGCCUUGACAUUGAAUGCUAAGACAUCAGCUGAUUGAUAAGUUGAUGAAGUGAAAUGCCCGUAGAGUUUUUUUUUAGAAAAGAGAUUUUUUUUUCUCUCUUGGAUGAAGAGAAAAGGAAAUAAAGAGAUUUUUCUUUUCCGAAAAUGAAGGGAAAAGUAGUUAACAUGCACGGGAUGUGUUAUAUGUUUCUUUGUGCCUUGAAAGACACAAAUAUACACAGAUUAUUUUUUUAUUGUGUUGGAGAAAUUACUUUGAAAUGCCGAUGAUUGGUGUUGUAUCUGUGUUGUGUGGCAAUGGUGUUAUGUCAUGGUGUUGCAUGCUGGAGAAAUUGUAUGUCAUAGGAUUCAGCAAUACUGUUGUAUGCUAUUUGAAUUUCACCCUUUGCGAGAGAAUUAUUGCUUUGGAGAGUUAUUAUUAUUAUUAUUAUUAAUAAUUGUUAUACUUGAGAUGUGUCACGGGAGGUUUGCCUAAGUAUAAUUAUCAUUACGGGAGAAUUGUUUUACGAGAGAUUUGAGAUAUUUCAUGGGAGAUUAUUCAAUAAUUAUUACAGAUAAUUAUUCAGGGAGAAUUAUUACAAUGAAUUAAUGGGAGAAGUCUUGUGUUAAUUAAUUGUUGAGUUCUUGUAACUUUGGAGAAUAUUUCAGUGAUUCACGGGGAUGAGUUUUGCUGAAUCUUGAUGAAUCUGGCUGAAUCUUGGUGAGUUGUGUGGAAUUUUGCUGAAUUUUGCUGAAUUUUUGCUGAAUUUUUGGAGAAUGGACAAGCAUUAACUUUGGUGUUAAUUUUUGUACUGAUACUGAUGAUUUUGAUGAUAGCAAUUUUUUUUGGUGAUUUUGUGAUAAUGAUACUUCUGAUACUUUUUUUUUUAUGUACUAAUACGUGGGUGUUUUAAUGCUAUCAAGGGAGGUGAAAUCUUUUGUGAUUAUGGGAAGAACUAACAACACAUUAUUUUAGUUUUUUUUUUUUUUUUUUUUUUUUCUUUUUUUAUGAGUUCAGCAGAUAAUUGCUUGACAUCUAGUGAGUUACGGGAGAUAGUUAAUGGUGCCGUUGAUUUUUCUUUUCUCCUUUUUUGGAAGUUAGCCAUAGCUGACACAAGUUUUUUUUUUACCAUGGGUGAAUUUGAAUUUGUUUUUUCUCUCCAGUUAGUGUGAAUAUUAUCUCAGUUCGUGACUUAGAGUCAUUUAAGAGAACGUGUUCGUGUUUUAGCUAUUUGAUGCUAUAGAGUAAUAUAGGGGAGGAUUUCUUGCAUGUUUUGAAUGCAUACGUAAUGGCACUACAUUUUUUCUCUGGAUAUUUGUGUUCCAGAAAUUGAGAGUUUUCUUGCACAAUACAUUAGUUGUAUUUGUGACAACUUUGUGAGAGAUAGGAAACUUGGUUAAGUUUUCUAAUGCCUAUGUCGUAGUGCAUAUGGGGAAGUCUUUGCUUAGACACUGUGAAUUUGGAGUUCUGUUAUAAUGACUUGUGGCACAUUGGUGGUUUUUUCUAGAACUUUCUAGACAGUUUUAUUUGCCGAGUUUUUGCCCUUUUUUAGCAGUUAUGCUAAAUGGAGAGAGUUUUUAUAGUUUUUUACUAUAACAUUGAGUUAUUCUCUGGAGAAUUGGAGUUAUAAUUGAGUUAUAAUUGAGAUAUAUUAAUUUGGAGAGAUAAUUGGAGGUAUAUAUUAUUUUGGAGUUAUAUUUGAGAUAUAAUAUAUGGGAGAUAUAUUUUUGGCCAUUUUUGAUAUUUGCCAAUAGUGGUAUGAGCUAUGUUUAGUUCAAUUAUUUUGCAGCCAUCUUUGUUGCAAAUGGAGACACAUAUUUGGAGAUUAUGGGGCAAUAUUUGUGAGUAUGUGAGUUAGAUGCCUUGAGUGCACAUUUUUUUGGAGAUGGGAUUUCAUUUUUUGAUAUUCCUUUUUGGAGAUAUAUUUUUUGGAGCCUUGUUUUGUUCCACAUGGAGUUAUUGUGGAAAUAGAGGUAAAUAUUUUGUAUUUGCCGAAAUAGUGGUGAUUAUUCUCUAUUCCUGGAGUGGUGUCUUUUUUUCUACUGACAUGUGGCUAUUGGAGAAAUAAGAGAAUAAUAUAAGGGGGUUGGUUAUUAACCAAAUGGAGGAAAUAUUUCUAUAACCGGAGUGGUGUUAUUAUUGAUAUGAUGUCUCAUAAUGGAGUUGGAAUUAAUCUUGGGCGGGUGACCCUUUUUUUUGUGGUUAUGGAGUUUUUUCGAGACAAGAGAAGAUUUCUGAGGUUCUCUUUUUUUUGAUUUCGUGUCUAUUUAGAGAGAAGUGGCAUUACUGCAUUACGAGUUAUUUGGAGAUGUGUGUGCAUUUUUCAUGUUCACAAGUGUGUUAUUCUUGGAGAAAUAUAAUAUGGGAAAAGUCAUGUUGAGAGAAUAAGUCUUCGAGACAAAUUUUUGAACACAUUAGUCAUAUCCUGGAGUUAAUUCUGUGAAAUGUGUCAGUUAGACCUUUUUUCUUGAGAAUCAUGAGUUUCCAAACUUAUGUGUCUUACUAGACAAUUUUUGUGCUGUUGUUUGAGCAUGCGUCCGCAGGUGAUUUUUCUGCUGACAGGCGAUGUGAUGAGCCGUGUGCUGAGCGUGUGCUGAUUCUUUUCUUCUGAUGGUGACAGAUCAGAAUUUUUGCAAUAUCUGGAAAUGUGGCUAUAGCAUUUCACGAAAGCGCAUGUAUGAGAGUUUGCUUUCUGGCAAAUUCCGUGGUUUUACAUGGAGCAUUUCUUGGGAAAACGCGGGAGUUAUGCAUAUUAUACAUGUAUUAUGUAUUUUGUGAUUGGGGAAAUCUGCUUGUGAUUAUUCUUUUUUUUUAUUAUUUUUCUUCCUUUUCCUAUGAGAGAUAUGAUUUGGGGAUUGAGUUUAAAUAACAUUUCUUUUUUGGACGGGAGAUUUGAUUUUACCGGGAGGUGUAAUUUUUCGAGGGUUGCUAUUUACGAAAUGGGAGUUUGACAUUAAGUCUCAUUGUGAUUAAUUAUUGAGCAGUAAAGGGGGUUUUUGCUGUUAAAAGUUGGAGAUUUUUACUGAUUUUGUGGGUUGUUUAAAUAUUAGCUUGCGAGAAUAUUUUUGGGUCUGGGUGUUACGUGAUUCUUUUCUUUCUUGGGCUUGUUACGAAUUUUUUCUUUUUUUUUUCUCUUGUGAGCACAUUCGAGUUCGAAAUGUGAGUGCAGAAUUCCGUGGAGUUGCUGUGAUUUCUGAGUUGUGUGUGUGCUGAUGUGCGAGUUUGGAGAAUUGAAUUGGAGAACUUGAUGUUUUCUUUUUCUUAGAGAGUUGUGAUAAUGACUUAUCAUUUUAGUAGUCAUAUUUAAGGGAGUUAAUUGGGAGACGUUCAGUUAGUAUUUCUGACCUUUUGAGAUCAUUGUUUGAUAGAGGUAGUAUGUUUGGGUUAAUUUUCUUAGAUUGACCAAAGACCUGACUGACAUACUAACGCCCAAAAGUUCCCGACGCCAGCAAGACGUCCACCAGCCGUGAGGUUGCUGCCAUGUUGCCCAUGGUGAUUACAAGUAUUUCCACGUGGGUGAUCGAGAGAAUUCUACAGCGUGUUUUUUGGGGAUCUACAAGAAGCCGUGAGAGUCUUCUACGAUGAGGGAGGCAUUCCGUCUUCCUACAGUUGCUACAGCCUGCUAUAGCCUGUUGCUGUCUGUGCAGCUACUUGCAGACAAGCGAAGAGGGAUAUUCAAGAAUCCUUAUGCAGAAAAUAUGAGAGAAAAUGCGUCUUGUGUUAUUGGGAGAUUAAAGCGUGAUAAGACUUUAUUUUAUAAUGCCAGAGACGUGCAGUUUUACUUAUUUUGUUUUAAGCCGGCCAAUGUUUUAUAUUAUAUAAGCAAUUUUGCUAGGCGGGAGCUAGCAUAUAGGUGCGAGGCCGAGCAAUCUGUAAGACAUAGGGUUUUGAUUAAUUAUAUAUUGUUCGUGCAUUCUCUGUAACCUGUGGAAUGUGGAGGACAGGGCAGAGUAACGACCUGAGAAUAGCUGAUCAAUGAGUUUCUAGGGGAUGGCGUGAGAUAAAAGUGCUUAGUUCAGGAAGUCAAUGUACGACAGUUUAUGAACUCUUCCCAAAGUGCCUUUGUGAAACUAGAUGCAGCUAGAACCGCGAGGUGCUAGCGAACUGUGUGUUCGUAUGUGCGUGUGCGCCUCUUCUAUUCAUAAUGCCAAGUUUAUGGGAAGACUUGCACAGACAUUCGGGGAGGAAGGCGAAGCCAUGAUGGCAGAUGCCAAAGUGUUUUUAUUUAUCAGUGAGUGAUAUUCCGGUUGGGAAUGGAUGGUUCUGGAUUUCUGUGGGACAGAGUUCCCAGGGAAAGGUGUGACCUUUUGGGUGACUUGACAAUGAGUAGUUUUAAGUUAGUCUGUGAGACUGGAUUACUUAGUUAACCGACUUAGUUGUUACUGUAAAUAAACGUUAUGUUAUGA